AACGAACGCUGGCGGCAGGCUUAACACAUGCAAGUCGAGCGCCCCGCAAGGGGAGCGGCAGACGGGUGAGUAACACGUGGGAACCUACCUGAAGGUACGGAACAACUCCGGGAAACUGGAGCUAAUACCGUAUGUGCCCGAAAGGGGAAAGAUUCAUCGCCUUCAGAUGGGCCCGCGUCAGAUUAGCUAGUUGGUGAGGUAACGGCUCACCAAGGCGACGAUCUGUAGCUGGUCUGAGAGGAUGAUCAGCCACACUGGGACUGAGACACGGCCCAGACUCCUACGGGAGGCAGCAGUGGGGAAUAUUGGACAAUGGGCGCAAGCCUGAUCCAGCCAUGCCGCGUGAGUGAUGACGGCCUUAGGGUUGUAAAGCUCUUUCGACGGGGACGAUAAUGACGGUACCCGUAGAAGAAGCCCCGGCUAACUUCGUGCCAGCAGCCGCCGCCGUAA
rnacentral:rRNA from 1 species